rnacentral:rRNA from 1 species
UACGUAGGAGGCGAGCGUUGUCCGGAUUUACUGGGCGUAAAGAACGCGUAGGCGGUUCGUUAAGUUUGGCGUAAAAUCUCCUGGCUCAACUGGGAGGGCGCACCGAAGACUGGCGGACUGGAGGGCAUCAGAGGAAAGCGGAACUCCCGGUGUAGUGGUGAAAUGCGUAGAGAUCGGGAAGAACACCUGUGGCGAAGGCGGCUUUCUGGGGUGUACCUGACGCUGAGGCGUGAAAGCGUGGGGAGCGAAC